ensembl:lncRNA
UCUACUGAACAUUUUUUUUUACUUUAAAAAACUCAAUUUGUGUCGGUACAGAGAUUAUGAGUGUCAAUUUAGCUCCAUUAAUAACAAAAGAGCAAUAGCUUGAUAAAUGUGCAUAUAUAAGAUAUGCUAAUUAGCCAUGUGGUCAUGUCGCUUACCCUCGAUCUGUUAUGAGCUGCUAAUCUCGGCUCAACCAGUCUGGUAAAAACUGCAUUCAGGUAAUUCAGGUAAAGAGUGAAUUGGAAUUAAAAUACAUGACAUGAUCUAAAAGCAAAUGAACUUAAAUGAUUAAAAACAAGUAUUUAAAGAUAGAAGCUAAAUUCAGAGAGUCAUUACACCAAAUUAUUAUUUAACCAACUGUCAGAUUGUCGGAUGUUCUUACAUUUCUAGCUGUUUUUCCUCCUAGCUUGAUGUUUGUUUGUUUUUUAACAAAUUGAAUAUGCUUAUUAAAUAUACAUCCAAGACAAUGGUAUAAUCGUAUUACCUUACUAACUGAUCACAAUCAAGCACUCUUGAAUUCUACAGUUAUCCUGGAGGUACCCUCCAAACCUCAUGCCAUCACUCCUGGCAGGGAGCUCAGUGGCUUCUCUAUCCCUGGUGCUCUUUUUUGGUGUCCGACAUACCGCUGAUUAUCCUCACUGACAGGAAAAAUCAUGACCGUUUGCAAGCCAUCCCCACUGUAGCAUGCCCGCUGUCUGUUUUUGUGGACGUCAGUCAAUUAAUGCUUUAAAAUGCUUUUCAGAAUAUAACGCAUUAUGAUAUAUAUUUUUUUUGUAACUGAUGUUUUUCAGAUAAUAAUGUAUAUAGUGUAAAUUUCAAGUUAUGAAAAGUUGUGUUGCAAUUGCAAAAUACAGGCCAUGCUGUCUACACACUGUGGUUGGGCGUACUGUUACACCAGUCCUGCAUUGCGGUUCAUAACGUCAUUAUUUUUUUUGUAUAAUUCUUGUAUAUACGUACCUAAAUGAAAGCUUUAAUGUUAAUAUUUAUUGAAUUUUUAAGUGGUAUGGUGAACAAAGUAAAACACAUUUGAA